rnacentral:rRNA from 1 species
GGGCCCGAGUUGUAAUUUGUAGAGGGAGUUUCGGAGGCGGCGCCGGCUUAAGUUCCUUGGAACAGGGCGUCACAGAGGGUGAGAAUCCCGUACGUGGCCGGCGGUCAAUUCCAUGCGAAACCCCUUCGACGAGUCGAGUUGUUUGGGAAUGCAGCUCAAAAUGGGUGGUAAAUUUCAUCUAAAGCUAAAUACUGGCCAGAGACCGAUAGCGCACAAGUAGAGUGAUCGAAAGAUGAAAAGCACUUUGGAAAGAGAGUUAAACAGUACGUGAAAUUGUUGAAAGGGAAGCGCUUGCGACCAGACUUGCUCGCGGGUGAUCAGCCUCCCUUCGGGGGGGUGCACUCGCCCGUGAUCAGGCCAGCAUCGGUUUGGGCGGGCGGAUAAAGUUCCCAGGAAUGUAGCUCCCCUCGGAGAGUCUUAUAGCCUGGGGUGCAAUGCGCCCAGCCGGGACCGAGGACCGCGCUUCGGCUAGGAUGCUGGCGUAAUGGUCGUAAGCGACCCGUCUUGAAACACGGACCAAGGAGUCUAACAUCUAUGCGAGUGUUUGGGUGUCAAAACCCACGCGCGGAAUGAAAGUGAACGGAGGUGGGAGCCCUUCCGGGGGCGCACCAUCGACCGAUCCUGAUGUCUUCGGAUGGAUUUGAGUAGGAGCAUCGCUGUUGGGACCCGAAAGAUGGUGAACUAUGCGUGAAUAGGGUGAAGCCAGAGGAAACUCUGGUGGAGGCUCGCAGCGGUUCUGACGUGCAAAUCGAUCGUCAAAUUUGCGUAUAGGGGCGAAAGGUCAGUCAGAGUUCUCGUGUCCGGUGGUGGUGAGUCAAUGCUAACAUUGUACAGACUAAUCGAACCAU